rnacentral:rRNA from 1 species
CGAACGGGUGAGUAACGCGUGAGGAACCUGCCUCAAAGAGGGGGACAACAGUUGGAAACGACUGCUAAUACCGCAUAAGCCCACAGGUCGGCAUCGACCAGAGGGAAAAGGAGCAAUCCGCUUUGAGGUGGCCUCGCGUCCGAUUAGCUAGUUGGUGAGGUAAUGGCCCACCAAGGCAACGAUCGGUAGCCGGACUGAGAGGUUGAACGGCCACAUUGGGACUGAGACACGGCCCAG